rnacentral:rRNA from 1 species
AGCGAACGUUAGCGGCGGGCCUAACACAUGCAAGUCGAACGCGAAAGGUCUUCGGACUGAGUAGAGUGGCGCACGGGUGAGUAACACGUAGGUAAUCUACCCUUUGGCGGGGGAUAACGUUCCGAAAGGAGCGCUAAUACCGCAUAAGACCACGUGGUCUCCGGGCCGAGUGGGAAAAGGUGGCCUCUUCUUGAAAGCUACCACCGAAGGAUGAGCCUGCGUCCCAUCAGCUAGUUGGUAAGGUAAUGGCUUACCAAGGCGAAGACGGGUAGCUGGUUUGAGAGAAUGAUCAGCCACACUGGCACUGGAACACGGGCCAGACUCCUACGGGAGGCAGCAGUGAGGAAUAUUGGGCAAUGGGCGAAAGCCUGACCCAGCCACGCCGCGUGAGUGAUGAAGGCCCUCGGGCCGUAAAGCUCUGUGGAGAGGGACGAAAACCCUGGUUUCAAAUAGGCUCCAGGCUUGACGGUACCUCUUUAGCAAGCACCGGCUAACUCUGUGCCAGCAGCCGCGG